GCUUCUUACAACCUUGCUUGUUCUUUUCGUAUUCCCUUUUAUCAUUUGGUAAUUUUAAUAAUCUUGUUGUUGAUUAAUAAUUUCUUGAAUAUACUAAAUUGCGUGUUGUUAUUUGUGGUAAUGCAUGCUGAGGGUUCAGCAAGCUAAUUAAAAAGUGUAGAUCAGCAAUUUAGUAUAGGCGCAUGCGGGAAAUGUCGACUUGAUUUGGUGGGAGUAUCGACGGUGUGUUAGACCGGGUGUCAGAAAUCAUACCCCUACCCAAUCUACGGACUCCUGCCCCAGAGUUUACGACAAUAUUACAUAUUUGCAUUAUCGAAAAUGAAUUGUCUGUUUAUGUUUCACACUAAAGUUCCUAAAAUUGUUAAUGAUACACACUGAUGAGGGUGAAUAGCAGCAAACGUUUGUAUGCACGGAGAAGCUGUUUGGCCUUGCUGGUGGCCUUUAAAGUUGUCGGUGCUGUCGGAGGUGAGUAACUCGCUACUCGCCAUGAAAUAUGGCGGCCUUCCCUGUGUUCAGCCAGCUGGUGUAACUGACCUUUUAGUGGUGUGGUGGCUUGAGCACCUUGUCGAUCCACAAUGAGUGAGAGUAGACAGUGAAACACAGAUAUCUCCGUCCUCUGUCAAGAAAGGUCCUGUAAACUAGGAGACUUUGUGUGACAAGCUUCUGAGAGACUUGCUCACCUCCAUCUGUAGGUUGUAAUUUGUUGCCCCACACAACACCUUUGUCUGACUCCUCCUAGAGCGUGCGUUUGUGUGUGUGAGAGAGAGAGGAGAGAUAGAAAAGUAAAAAAAAAAAAAAAAAAAGCAGCAUAUAAUCUUUCGUUUCUUCCUUAAAACCAGGGCAUCAUCCCCAGUGUCGUGUGCAUUGAUGUAAUCCAGGCUUGACAGGCGCUCACCCGAAAAUCGCCAGGCAUUGUACAGGCAUGUUUCAACUUAGACUGCCAUCACGAGAGGAAAAUUAAUGGCAUACAUUUUUACCCUUCUUGCCUUCCUCCAUUACCGGUCGUCACCGCCAUUGGCGGGAGGCUACAGGCCAAGACGUGAAUGGAUUUCACCCUACAAGUGUUCUUAGUGUGAAUGGAGAGUGUUUUGACAUUGCCCAUUGCCCAUGCGGGGACUUGAAUAGCUCGCGUGUUGUGAUGAUCUAGUCGGCGUUGAAGCAAAUUUUGCUGGUCAGAAUAAAACAUCACAGACAUUGGAGACAUGUAAUAGGGUUAGGCCUGUCAUAACCCUGACGGGGACAGAAAGAUGCAGCGCAUCAUUCCAGCGAGAGAUGAAAUUUCCGGCCACGCCGAUGCUCUCCCUUUCCUGUUGCAGUUGCGUGACUAAGGGAGUUAUGUUCUGAGCCUAACCACACUACAGUGCUGCUGGAUUUGUUUACAGUGAGUAUUAAAACUUCCUGCAGUCAGAUCGCAGUGCACCCCACUGUACACAGUCACACGGGACAGACAAACCCAGAGUGUUACAUAUGGACUUGGGAUACAAAGGUCUUGUAUGUCUAAUGUGAAAGUAGGAGAUUGAGCCGACACUUUGUCAGCCAGGGUCUUCAACACGAUGACCCUCGAGUCCUUGCCCCGACGGAGCAGAACUCGGUCAGGCGCCGGUGCUUCCGGUUCAGAGAUUAAAGGGAUCUGCAGAAGGGUGGAGUAAGACGGAUUCCAGACAUCCAAAAGAGGAUUCGUCAGGGACUAGGUCGCUUCCAAGCGCAGCUGCUACCGAUCUUUUUCGCUCAACAACAACUAUACUAUCUGUGCUGAUAAAGUUCAUUGAAAAAGCAGACUGGUACUCUUGAUAUUUGAUUGGAAUUUUAUUUUGAACGUUUGCUGUUUGGAUGAUGUUUAGUAGGAUGGAUGCUAACUUGAUGUGAAUCACGAAAUGCAGAAACCUUUUACCGACAAGGUUUAUUUUUGGAAACAGCGUCUUUACAUUCUCAGGGUGAGGCUGAUCACAUACAGUGGACCUCCUUUCACAUUCAACAUUGAGUGGAGGUAGCAGAGGAUGGAGCGGGA